UAUGGUGUUGUUUGUGGGGGUGGCUCUGUUGUGCCGUCCAAUGCUGUUGUUUGAUUCGAAGUCGAACUCGUUUCGUGUAACACAGUGGUGGAUUUGAGCAAAGAUGGUGGGAUUGUGAAGAAGAUUAUCGAGAAAGGAGAGAGGAAUGAGCAGCCUGGUGAUUUGAGUGAAGUUCUUGGCCAUUUUUGUUCAGCAUUGCCAAAAGCUAUCAAGACAAUGAAAAGGGGAGAGAAGGGCAGAUUCAUUGUUCAACCUCAGUGUAUGUGUUUGGAUCCUUGUUAUAAUACUGCUAUAUAUGUCUGGCAAAAAGAAAAAAAAAAUUGAAUCGUCUGACAAAUGAAAGUUGCAUAAAUAAUUGUAGAUGCCUUUGGUGCGUGGGUUGCUAAUGAAAGUGCAAGUGUUACUAAAAAUAUUAUUACUAGGAAUCAGUUGGGAAGUACUUGGAGGUAAUUUUUGGAAUACAUAAUGCACCUGUGAUAUCAUACCAUUCUACUACUAGUUAACUUAAACA